rnacentral:rRNA from 1 species
UACAGAGGUCCCAAGCGUUGUUCGGAUUCACUGGGCGUAAAGGGUGCGUAGGUGGUGAGGUAAGUCGGAUGUGAAAUCUCUGAGCUCAACUCGGAAACUGCAUUGGAAACUACCUUGCUAGAGGGUUGGAGGGGGGACUGGAAUACUUGGUGUAGCAGUGAAAUGCGUAGAUAUCAAGUGGAACACCAGUGGCGAAGGCGAGUCUCUGGACAACUCCUGACACUGAGGCACGAAAGCUAGGGGAGCAAACAGG